rnacentral:rRNA from 1 species
AAAUGAAUUGACGGGGGAGCGCACAACCAGUGGAGCAUGUGGUUUAAUUCGAUACGAAGCGAAAGACCUCACCCGGGCUUGACAUGUACUUGCAAAUCCGAUGAAAGUCGGACUCUUUCGAAGGUAGUACACAGUUGCUGCAUGGCUGUCGUCAGCUCGUGUCGUGAGACGUCCGCUUAAGUGCGGUAACGAGCGCAACCCCUGCCGUGUGUUAAAUAUUCACAUGGGACUGCCUUACAGCAAGUAGGGAGGAAGGAGGGGACGACGUCAAGUCAGCAUGGCACUUACGUCCGGGGCCACACACAUCCUACAAUGGCAAUUAAUAACGGGUCGCGAAAGGGUAACCUCGAGCCAAUCCUUCAAACAUUGCCUCAGUUCAGAUUGAGGGCUGCAACCCGCCCUCAUGAAGUCGGAAUUGGUAGUAAUCGCGGGUCAGCAGACCGCGGUGAAUACGUUCUCGCUCCUUGUACACACCGCCCGU